GAGCGAAGCACUUUGCUUAGAUUCUUCGGAUGAAGAGGAUUGUGACUGAGCGGCGGACGGGUGAGUAACGCGUGGGUAACCUGCCUCAUACAGGGGGAUAACAGUUAGAAAUGACUGCUAAUACCGCAUAAGACCACAGCACCGCAUGGUGCGGGGGUAAAAACUCCGGUGGUAUGAGAUGGACCCGCGUCUGAUUAGCUAGUUGGUAAGGUAACGGCUUACCAAGGCGACGAUCAGUAGCCGACCUGAGAGGGUGACCGGCCACAUUGGGACUGAGACACGGCCCAAACUCCUACGGGAGGCAGCAGUGGGGAAUAUUGCACAAUGGGCGCAAGCCUGAUGCAGCCAUGCCGCGUGUAUGAAGAAGGCCUUCGGGUUGUAAAGUACUUUCAGCGGGGAGGAA
rnacentral:rRNA from 1 species